rnacentral:pre_miRNA from 1 species
GGCCUCCCUCUGUGGGGCGAUGGAUCAUGGGGCCCCCAGAUCGAUGCCCCACAGAGGGAGGCC